CCAGGGGCGCCUUGGCCCUGCCCCCAGGAGCCGUCCAAAGCUGGGCUGCGAAGGGAAAGGGAUUCCCCGCACCAUCCACAGCCCCAGGACCUGUGGGUGACUAAGAAGACAAGGAAGAUGGUGGCAAGGGCAAGGGCAACAGGUGAAGCACUUGCAUGCCCGUCAGGGCUGCAGAGGGGGAGCUGUGAGCCCGGGACCCCAGGGAUGGCCGCCAAAGCCAGAAGGAGCCAGAGGAAGUGAGACUGGACGACUCCAGCCUUGUCUGUGUGAGUAGCCCCUGGCCUGAGGGUGGUCAGAGACAAGGUCCAGACUGUCUCAAGGCGUCCGUGUUGAGUGAGGAGCAGCAGAGGACAAACAGUAGCUUGGGGUAGAGGCUGUCAUCCCUAUGCAAGUGGAAGGGAAGACUCCAAGGCCAAGAGACGUGUGGUGGACCGGGAAGUGGAAGUCAGACUAAUGGACCAACGUGUGCAAGAGCCCAGGCCUGCACCCGGGGCGGCGUGCAGAGCGUGUGGCGGGCCUGCUCACACCUCUCUGGUCACCUUCCUCUCUGCGGGCAGCACAGCCCCCUCGAGUGGCCACACCUUCCUUGGAAACACGCACCUGUGCUUUGCCUCACACACCCCAGGCCUGCACCCCCAGCAGAGGUGGGCUCCGGGCCCUGCAAAGCCAAGACCCAGACCUAGAGCUAGCUGCUGGCCAAGGUGCCACCGGCUGU